rnacentral:rRNA from 1 species
UACGUAGGGGGCAAGCGUUGUCCGGAUUUAUUGGGCGUAAAGAGCUCGUAGGCGGUCUGUCGCGUCGGCUGUGAAAACUCGGGGCUCAACUCCGAGCUUGCAGUCGAUACGGGCAGGCUAGAGUUCGGCAGGGGAGACUGGAAUUCCUGGUGUAGCGGUGAAAUGCGCAGAUAUCAGGAGGAACACCGGUGGCGAAGGCGGGUCUCUGGGCCGAUACUGACGCUGAAGAGCGAAAGCGUGGGGAGCGAACAGG